GCGUCCGCCAAUGGCGCCGGCGCCCGGGGCCGCGAGGACCGGGACGAGACCUCGCGGCGCGCUAUCUCACCAUUGUCGAACGUACGUGUACCGCCGGCGGGCAGCGCCCGCCGGCCUUGUCAUGUGCUCGCCGCCCGCGUGCGCACGCCGGUCGUCUCUCUUCACAGCGCGCUCGCUGCCUGCGCGCAGGGGCGGACCCACAGGGGGGUUCGGGUGGGCCCUGGCACACCCUAAGCCAGGCCCAUCGGAGACCCCACCCGUUCGUCCGUCGAGCGCUGAAGGCAGUUUCAACCAGGGGCGGACCCACAGGGGGGUCCGGGUGGGCCCUGGCACACCCUAAGCCAGGCCCAUCGGAGACCCCACCCGUUCGUCCGUCGAGCGCUGAAGGCAGUUUCAACUUCCCGAUCCUUCAGCUUCCAGUUCCUAGAACCACGAGUGCGACUGUUCCUGGCGGCUAGCGACCUCAACCUUCAACCUGGCUACUGGCUUCCUGGCGAGCGCGCCGCGCGGCUGGACGGCUGUCGGCUGGUGGCCUGGCUUCUUGUUCCUGACGAGCGCCUGGCUUCCUGUUCCUGACGAGCGCGCGGCUGGAGUGCUGGACGGCUGGUGGCGAGCGGCCGAGCGGCGAGCGCGCGGUUGUUCCAGUGUUCCUGGUCCUGGCGCCUGGCGGCCUCAAGACGCUGCUGCUGGUCUGCCACUGGUUUCAACUUCCCGAUCCUUCAGCUUCCAGUUCCUAGAACCACGAGUGCGACUGUUCCUGGCGGCUAGCGACCUCAACCUUCAACCUGGCUACUGGCUUCCUGGCGAGCGCGCCGCGCGGCUGGACGGCUGUCGGCUGGUGGCCUGGCUUCUUGUUCCUGACGAGCGCCUGGCUUCCUGUUCCUGACGAGCGCGCGGCUGGAGUGCUCGACGGCUGGUGGCGAGCGGCCGAGCGGCGAGCGCGCGGCUGUUCCAGUGUUCCUGGUCCUGGCGCCUGGCGGCCUCAAGACGCUGCUGCUGGUGAGUGGUUGCCUGCUCUGCAGCUCUGCUCUUCGAUUGGUUGCGUUCUGUAUGAUAGGGACAUGACGUCCAGAAUUUUCAAUUUAGCCUUUUUCUAAUAGUUUCACGUUUAGAUCUUUAGAGAUUAGAGAAACUAACACUGUUUUUUUGGACGCCUGCUCUGCUGCUCCUGUGAUUGGCUGCGAUUGGUUGCGCUCUGCUGCUGCUGUUGAUU